GCGCUCGUAGCUCAGCUGGAUAGAGUACUUGGCUACGAACCAGGCGGUCGGAGGUUCGAAUCCUCCCGAGCGCGCCA
rnacentral:tRNA from 1 species